rnacentral:rRNA from 1 species
AUGGCGUCGAGGGCUGUGAAGGUGGCGCUGCUGCUCGCGGCGGUGGCGACGACGUGCGCGCUGGCGCAGCUCCACGAGAAGUUCUACGGCGAGACGUGCCCCAGCGUGGAGGAUGUCGUGAGGAAGGAGAUGGGGUGCGACGGCUCGGUUCUGCUGGACUCGGCCAACAAGACGGCGGAGAAGGAUACGCAGCCGAACCAGACGCUGCGAGGCUUCGGCUUUGUCGAGAGGGUGAAGGCCGCGGUGGAGAAGGCCUGCCCCGACACCGUCUCCUGCGCCGACAUCCUCGCCCUCAUUGCCAGGGACGCAGUAUGGCUGGUGAGUAGAGUACCAGGCCAUUUUGCAAAUGACACGCGUGUCCAUUUCCAACGAGACCGACGCUCUGCCACCCCGACCCCCAACUUCACCGUGCUCACCCAGCUCUUCGCCGCUGUGAACCUCGACGCCAAGGACCUCGUCGUCCUGUCCGCCGGGCACACGAUCGGGACGUCGCACUGCUUCUCCUUCUCCGACUGGCUCUACAACUUCACCGGCAUGGAGAACCCCAGCGACAUCGACCCCACGCUAGAGCCGCAGUACAUGAUGCGGCUCAAGAGCAAGUGUGCAAGCCUCAACGACAACACCACCCUCGUGGAGAUGGACCCCGGCAGCUUCAAGACCUUCGACACCGACUACUUCAAGCUGGUGAGCAAGCGGAGGGGCCUCUUCCACUCCGACGGCGCCCUCCUCACCGACCCCUUCACCCGCGCCUACGUCCAGCGCCAUGCCACCGGUGCCUUCAAGAACGAGUUCUUCGCCCACUUCGCCGACUCCAUGAUCAAGAUGGGCAACGCCAACCCGCUCACCGGAAGCCAAGGUGAGAUCAGAAAGAAGUGCAGCGUGGUCAACCAUUAA